rnacentral:rRNA from 1 species
GAUCAUGGCUCAGGACGAACGCUGGCGGCACGCUUAACACAUGCAAGUCGAACGAGAGAAGAGAAGCUUGCUUUUCUGAUCUAGUGGCGGACGGGUGAGUAACACGUGAGCAAUCUGCCUUUCAGAGGAGGAUACCGAUUGGAAACGAUCGUUAAUACCGCAUAAUAUAAUUGAACCGACAUGUAUUUGUAUUAUACAAAGUAUUUAUCGCUAGAAA